GUAGGUGGCAAGCGUUGUCCGGAAUUAUUGGGCGUAAAGCGCGCGCAGGCGGUUCUUUAAGUCUGAUGUGAAAGCCCACGGCUCAACCGUGGAGGGUCAUUGGAAACUGGAGAACUUGAGUACAGAAGAGGAAAGCGGAAUUCCACGUGUAGCGGUGAAAUGCGUAGAGAUGUGGAGGAACACCAGUGGCGAAGGCGGCUUCCUGGUCUGUAACUGACGCUGAGGCGCGAAAGCGUGGGGAGCAAACAGGGAUUAGAUACCCUGGUAGUCCACGCCGUAAACGGUGAGUGCUAAGUGUUAGGGGGUUUCCCGCCCCUUAGUGCUGCAGCUAACGCAUUAAGCACUCCGCCUGGGGAGUACGGCCGCAAGGCUG
rnacentral:rRNA from 1 species